rnacentral:rRNA from 1 species
UACGAAGGGGGCUAGCGUUGCUCGGAAUCACUGGGCGUAAAGGGUGCGUAGGCGGGUCUUUAAGUGAGGGGUGAAAUCCUGGAGCUCAACUCCAGAACUGCCUUUGAUACUGAGGAUCUUGAGUUCGGGAGAGGUGAGUGGAACUGCGAGUGUAGAGGUGAGAUUCGUAGAUAUUCGCAAGAACACCAGUGGCGAAGGCGGCUCACUGGCCCGAUACUGACGCUGAGGCACGAAAGCGUGGGGAGCAAACAGG